rnacentral:hammerhead_ribozyme from 1 species
AUCCAGCUGACGAGUCCUAAAUAGGACGAAACGCGCGUCCUGAAA